rnacentral:lncRNA from 1 species
GAGCUAGCGUCUCUCUAGUAUCCGUACGACAAGAGCUUUUCCCGUGUUUCGAUAUCCUCGAGCUCAUCCCUUGGUUGUGCGGAUCCCAUCUAUCUUCUGUGUGUGUGUUCCUAGUGUUAUCUUGGGAGGUUGAUCUAUUUGUCUUAUUUGCCAUUUGUGAAUCUUCUCAACUUUAUCAACAUCUUGACUAACAUUUGCUUGAAUUAUUUGUGCCUUUCCUAACCAAGCUCCUCCAUAGAUCAUUUACUUGUAGGUGUGAGAAACAAUUCCCGGUACCAAUUCCCCUAUUGUAACAUCACGUGAGAUCGUACUUGUUACAUCCACAAUCUUCGGAAAAGGUAACUUUUGUUUUGUUAUCUCAUUUUCCUACUCACCACUACUUUCUUAUGAUGGAUAGGCCAAGUUCUUCAACCAACCCACUCUUCAUAGAGCAAGACGAUGACAUGUCAUCCUUCGUCACCAAGAGCCACCUCUUUGGCGCACAACGAGCUCUCCAUCAAGAGCAACAAGCAAUGAACGACCGCAUCGACAACCUCGCUACCGACUUACGACUCUCCGAACAACGUACACGCGACUACUUCGACAACAAGCUCGACGCGCACAAGCAAGAGAACAAUGCAAGAAUGGACCAGAUCCGAGCUUUGUUGGUCAACCGGCAUCCUUCGACUUCUUCCUACUCAAGACGGAGCCACUCAAGUCGCCACUCCGACGACACCUUCUCCGGCUCAAGUACACCGUCAUCAACCAUUCUUCAACGAGCCGCGCGUCAAGAUCAUCAUGCAUCUCGAGAUCCGCUACAUGCCAAGAAUUCACAAGAGCAAGUCGAUGAGCAAGUUCCUCGCCCUCAAGCAAAUCAAGUCGCUUUUGCUCAAGCUCAAGAACGACAACGUCUUCGUCGUCAAGAAGAAGAAGAACGAGCGCGUCUACACCAAGAGGAACAAGACGCCGAGGCCCAACGUCUCCAACAACAACAACGAGAAGCACAAGCUAUUGAGGCGGAACGUGCCCUCCAAGAAUCAAGUCGAGCCAUCGCCAACCGCAAUCGCAAACGGUGCAAUCAAGAGGAAGCCCUUCGAGAAGAAAUACAAGAAAGGAACUAUCGACCACGUGUGCACCGUCAAGUUUCUCAAGCUCCUCCACAAGCUCGUCAAGCUCCACCUCAACCUCAAGCGCAACAAGAGCGAUACCAAGCGGAACAAGUGCUUCAAGACCCUCCUCCACACCAAGAGCAACAUCAUGAGGAACGAGCAUUCGAGGACCCUCCAAGGCAAGAGCGACACCGCAACCGCUACCAAAAUGAAGAGCAACGCUAUGGGAAACUCAAAUUCACAACGCCCAAGUUCAAUGGAAGCAAUGAUCCGGAAGAAUACCUAUCAUGGGCAUUGAAGGUCGACAAAAUCUUUCGUUUGCACAACUAUGAGGAAGAGAAGAAGAUCGCAAUGGCAUCACUUGAGUUCCAAGACUAUGUGCUCAUAUGGUGGGAACAAGUCCUUGAGCGCCAAGAAGCAAGAGGUGACCCUCCAAUCACCACUUGGGCUCAAAUGAAGGAUGUCAUGCGAGCACGAUUUGUGCCCACCUACUACAACCGUGAUCUCUUCAAGAAGCUACAACUCCUCAAGCAAGGAACAAAGAGUGUUGAAGAAUACUACAAGGAAAUGGAGAUAGCCAUGAUUCGAGCCAAUGUCAAGGAAGAUGAUGAGCAAACAAUGGCACGAUUCUUGAAUGGACUCAAUCAUCCCAUCAAGAAGAUCGCCGACUUCUGACCCUACUCCAACCUCAUCGAGCUAGUACAUCAAGCGACCAAGGCGGAACGUCAAGUGCAAGAUGACUUCAAGUACGCCAAGUACUCCUCCAAGACAUACGGCUUCUCCAACAAUCAAGCUUCAACAACUCCUACAACAACUACUUCAACCAAGCCUUCUCCAAGCAUCGACGAAAAGACAACAUACAAGAAACCUUCGUCAAGUUCAAGUCGUCCUCCUCCUACUACAAGCAACUACAAGCCGCGUGCUACUUCCUCUACUCCGACCGAUGAGACCAUCAAGACAAGUUCAAUCAAGUGCUUCACAUGUGGCGGCCGAGGCCAUAAGUCCUUCCAAUGCACCAACAAGCGCACUAUGAUCCUCAACGACGAUGGCACCUACGACUCAAUGAGUGAAGAUGAA